UACGUAGGGGGCGAGCGUUGUCCGGAUUCAUUGGGCGUAAAGCGCGUGUAGGCGGCUUGGCAAGUCGGGUGUGAAAGCCCUGGGCUCAACCUAGGAAGUGCACUCGAAACUGCUUCGCUCGAGUACCGGAGAGGAAAGCGGGAAUUCUCGGUGUAGAGGUGAAAUUCGUAGAUAUCGGGAGGAACACCAGUGGCGAAGGCGGCGACCUGGACGGACACUGACGCUGAGA
rnacentral:rRNA from 1 species